rnacentral:rRNA from 1 species
UACGGAGGGUGCAAGCGUUAUCCGGAUUCACUGGGUUUAAAGGGUGCGUAGGUGGGCAGGUAAGUCAGUGGUGAAAUCUCCGGGCUUAACCCGGAAACUGCCAUUGAUACUAUUUGUCUUGAAUACUGUGGAGGUCAGCGGAAUAUGUCAUGUAGCGGUGAAAUGCUUAGAUAUGACAUAGAACACCAAUUGCGAAGGCAGCUGGCUACACAAAUAUUGACACUGAGGCACGAAAGCGUGGGGAGCAAACAGG